UCAGCUCUCAGUUUCUCUGUAAGUUUUGGUGUUGAACUUUGUGUUGGAGUCUGUGGAGCAUCAGCUGCUCUACUCAUUGUGAUGUUUAUUUGCAGAAGAAAGAGUUUGAGAAGAAAAGCGUCUGAACACAAACCGGAGAAUGAUGAUGUCAGUAAUGACACAUAUAACGCUCUUGACCUCAAGACCAGAUCAUCUGACCUGUACGACACACUCACACCCGACCGGAAGAUGAUGCAAUGAGAGGCGGAGCUCAAAGAAACAAAUCCUCUGAUGACAGCAGUCAUUACAAAAAUCUAUCAUUUUCUGAUCCCACUGGAUUUUAGAUCUCUUUGCCACAACAUGUACAGUUAAAGAAAACUUCAUAUUAAAACUCAAGAGUCGAGAGCUCAACUAAAGCAAACACUGAUCACAAUAAUGGUGAUUUGUUGAAAUUUCGACUUGUUUUCAACAUUAAUUGCGCGUGCAAAAGUGAUAUUGAUUCAAAGCAAUUAACAUUCACAAAUCAACUAUUUUUUAACAUUGAUUCAAUGGUUGUUUGCUGUCUGGGUAGUGAUGACUUUUCCCAUGAUGAACAGUUUUGAAGCUUAGAAUCAUUUUUAUCUUUUCUUUUGGUGUAUGUGUGUGCCUUUAAAACCUUUCAAACAUUCUCCUUUUUGUUUUUUUUAAAAACAUUUUGUAUUCGAUCAAAAUCAGCUAAAACAGUUACAUCAUAAAAAGACAGAAAAGGAAAGGGAAGCGGUUUGAUGAAUAGCAGUGUGUUACAAACACGACACAGCUUUUUAUUUGGCUUAAUCUACUGAAGAAGCUCUUAAGAUGUCUAAAGACAUGUUUACAGUUUUUAUUACUGGUUAUACACUUGGGUAACAGGCACGUUUGUUAUGCUGUUUUGGAAUGAUGUUGGGUGUGAAUAGCACCAGACGAAUAUAUUUAAACGGAAAAUGUUUAUAUUGCUUUAUACAUCAAACGCUGUUUUAAAUGAACAAAGAUUUAUUAAAGAAAA